rnacentral:tRNA from 1 species
AUAUGUAUAGCUCAGUGGUAGAGUAUGUGCUUAGUGUGCACAAGGUCCUGGGUUGAAUCCCCAAUACCUCUA